GUCCGUUACAGCGUUCGAGAGUACACGCCAGUACUGCUUUCCAUUUGCUACAUUCCUUGCUACAUUCUAUGGCUAAACGGGGCUGACACUUCGUUGCAGGCUUGUGGCUAAAGCAGCUAAAACUAAAGCAAGCUCGCCUUUUAAUCCCUGUUCGCUGGGCCAGUGAAAGGUUAAACAAUAAACGAACUAAGCAUGUAGAGCCGAAGGCAGAGGACUGACGGACGCGGGUUCAAUUCCCGCCGCCUCCACCA
rnacentral:tmRNA from 1 species